AAAUUGAAGAGUUUGAUCAUGGCUCAGAUUGAACGCUGGCGGCAGGCCUAACACAUGCAAGUCGAACGGUAACAGGAAACAGCUUGCUGUUUCGCUGACGAGUGGCGGACGGGUGAGUAAUGUCUGGGAAACUGCCUGAUGGAGGGGGAUAACUACUGGAAACGGUAGCUAAUACCGCAUAACGUCGCAAGACCAAAGAGGGGGACCUUCGGGCCUCUUGCCAUCGGAUGUGCCCAGAUGGGAUUAGCUAGUAGGUGGGGUAACGGCUCACCUAGGCGACGAUCCCUAGCUGGUCUGAGAGGAUGACCAGCCACACUGGAACUGAGACACGGUCCAGACUCCUACGGGAGGCAGCAGUGGGGAAUAUUGCACAAUGGGCGCAAGCCUGAUGCAGCCAUGCCGCGUGUAUGAAGAAGGCCUUCGGGUUGUAAAGUACUUUCAGCGGGGAKGAAGGGAGUAAAGUUAAUACCUUUGCUCAUUGACGUUACCCGCAGAAGAAGCACCGGCUAACUCCGUGCCAGCAGCCGCGGUAAUACGGAGGGUGCAAGCGUUAAUCGGAAUUACUGGGCGUAAAGCGCACGCAGGCGGUUUGUUAAGUCAGAUGUGAAAUCCCCGGGCUCAACCUGGGAACUGCAUCUGAUACUGGCAAGCUUGAGUCUCGUAGAGGGGGGUAGAAUUCCAGGUGUAGCGGUGAAAUGCGUAGAGAUCUGGAGGAAUACCGGUGGCGAAGGCGGCCCCCUGGACGAAGACUGACGCUCAGGUGCGAAAGCGUGGGGAGCAAACAGGAUUAGAUACCCUGGUAGUCCACGCCGUAAACGAUGUCGACUUGGAGGUUGUGCCCUUGAGGCGUGGCUUCCGGAGCUAACGCGUUAAGUCGACCGCCUGGGGAGUACGGCCGCAAGGUUAAAACUCAAAUGAAUUGACGGGGGCCCGCACAAGCGGUGGAGCAUGUGGUUUAAUUCGAUGCAACGCGAAGAACCUUACCUGGUCUUGACAUCCACRGAASUUUYCAGAGAUGAGAAUGUGCCUUCGGGAACYGUGAGACAGGUGCUGCAUGGCUGUCGUCAGCUCGUGUUGUGAAAUGUUGGGUUAAGUCCCGCAACGAGCGCAACCCUUAUCCUUUGUUGCCAGCGAGUGCGUCGUAGUCCGGAUUGGAGUCUGCAACUCGACUCCAUGAAGUCGGAAUCGCUAGUAAUCGUGGAUCAGAAUGCCACGGUGAAUACGUUCCCGGGCCUUGUACACACCGCCCGUCACACCAUGGGAGUGGGUUGCAAAAGAAGUAGGUAGCUUAACCUUCGGGAGGGCGCUUACCACUUUGUGAUUCAUGACUGGGGUGAAGUCGUAACAAGGUAACCGUAGGGGAACCUGCGGUUGGAUCACCUCCUUACCUUAAAGAAGC
rnacentral:rRNA from 1 species